rnacentral:rRNA from 1 species
GAUGAACGCUGGCGGCGUGCUUAACACAUGCAAGUCGAACGGAAAGGCCCGGCUUUUGUGGGGUGCUCGAGUGGCGAACGGGGGAGUAACACGUGAGUAACCUGCCCUUGACUUUGGGAUAACUUCAGGAAACUGGGGCUAAUACCGGAUAGGAGCUCCUGCUGCAUGGUGGGGGUUGGAAAGUUUCGGCGGUUGGGGAUGGAAUCGCGGCUUAUCAGCUUGUUGGUGGGGUAGUGGCUUACGAAGGCUUUGAAGGGUAGCCGGCCUGGGAGGGUGACCGGCCACAUUGGGACUGCGAUACGGCCCAGACGCCUACGGGAGGCAGCGGGGGGGAAGAUUGCGCAAGGGGCGGAAGCCUGAUGCAGCAACGCCGCGUUCGGGAUGACGUCUUUCGGGUUGUAAACCGCUUUCGCCUGUGACGAAGCGUGAGUGACGGUAAUGGGUAAAGAAGCACCGGCUAACUACGUG